rnacentral:rRNA from 1 species
GACGAACGCUGGCGGCGCGCCUAACACAUGCAAGUCGAACGGAGCUGAGGGAAGCUUGCUUUUCUUAGCUUAGUGGCGAACGGGUGAGUAACGCGUGAGUAACCUGCCCUGGAGUGGGGGACAACAGUUGGAAACGACUGCUAAUACCGCAUAAGCCCACGAUCCGGCAUCGGCUUGAGGGAAAAGGAUUUAUUCGCUUCAGGAUGGACUCGCGUCCAAUUAGCUAGUUGGUGAGGUAACGGCCCACCAAGGCGACGAUUGGUAGCCGGACUGAGAGGGUGAACGGCCACAUUGGGACUGAGACACGGCCCAGACUCCUACGGGAGGCAGCAGUGGGGGAUAUUGCACAAUGGGGGAAACCCUGAUGCAGCGACGCCGCGUGGAGGAAGAAGGUUUUCGGAUUGUAAACUCCUGUCGUUAGGGACGAUAAUGACGGUACCUAACAAGAAAGCACCGGCUAACUACGUG